UAGAUAUACUUUUAUCUAAUUAUAUUGUAUCUGCUUAUCAUGUGUUUCUUUGUUAACAUGAAGGUGCUCAAAUGAUCGGCUCUAGUAAAAAUAAAUGUGUUAGAGGAGCAUUUAGAUAGUACAGUAAACGAAUACAGGUGCAUGCAUAGCGAAGGUACUGUAAGAUGGAAUCUCAGCAGGCAAAAAGAAAGAUGCAAAAUACUUUGUUCUUGUUUGUAAACAUGUCGCUAAAUAGGCGUCUUCUGAAUAUAAGAGACACUUGCAUGAAACAAUAGGGAAUAGACGCAAGUCGCAUAGAUAAGUUACAUUUGUUUAACAUAGCAAAAUGUAUUCCAUAUUUAUACACGAGCAGGGGGAAGUUUGUAAAGGAAACAAGUUCCUAAGGUGAAGCUAUAAACACAGGGCUUCACAUCUUAUUUAACUGAUUCAGUAGACUAAACAUAAUAACCAGAUUGGCUACUACCAGAGCCAGAAAGAAGCAAGCUCUCAUGGUGAAGCUAUACUAUAUAGAGCUUCACAUGCCGAUCAGAUAGCUCAGUAUGCUCACAGAGAUCGCACAUAGUGAGCGUAGUCGUCGUCCAUGUCUUGAUGAUAAUCUUCAUUAGAACCUCCACCAGAAAGUCCACCAUAUCCUGAAUCAGACAUGUCAUCAUAUAGGUAGAUGCCUUUCUUUUGCACUGAGAGACACACCAUGGCACUAACAUUCUGAAAUGCAGCUAUAGUGUCAUGAAUCUUUAGGAGAUUUUCUAGUUAAGAUGUCCAUAUUCAGCCUAAGGAAACUAUUUGUAGUAACAAAGAUGAGUCUCGUAGCUACAUAUUGAUUUUUAACAGUUUUUUUGUAUCAAGAAAAUAACGAAGUUGAUGUUUAGGUUUGUUAUUUAAUUUUUUUAAAUGAUGCUAUGUUUCUGUCAACAUCGGAUAUAUAACGAGCUGAAUUGUUACCUUUUGAAGAUGUGAAUCAGAUAUUGUAUUUUUUUCUUUUGAAUUGAAUAGUGUUUGGACGCACAAACAUCUAAAUAGGAAAUUGAAUCACAACUAAAAUAUAAAUAAGUAGACAGAGUAAUAUAUUUUAUUUCCUCUGUAGCUAGCACCUGAAUAAUAUCUCAAGUUUCAACCUCAUCACAUGGAACCUAACCAAGUUCAGGAAAGUAACAAUGAAUACAUAAUUCACUAUCUGUCUUCUUUUCAAUAAGAAAUUGGCCGAAGCCAUCCAAAUUGCAAACGAACAUUGUGAAGACAACCACAAUCAAAAUAGGUGUUUUGUCAAAUGGAACCACAAUCAAAAAGCAUGAAGCCUAUGAAAGUAGUGGGAAAUGCAGACUAACCACCCUUGUUAUGAGCACAGAGCCUAUUCAACAAGAAGCUACACCUUUUACGGUUUUUGGCAGUUUCAGCAGAACUAAGCAAUGGAAAGAACCUAUCUCCUGUUGGACACGGAAAACAAAACACACGCUAAGGGAACAAGGCCUGUCUAGCAAGGCAUGUGGAAAGAAAUGAACAGCAUCAACAGAGUUAAGGAACAUACGCUUCCUCUUUCGAACAACGGGAGCAAGAGGCCUCAGAUGUAUAAAAGGUUAUAAUGAAGGUUAAGAAAGAAUAGGUAAAGCGUCAUAGAAAGAAACAUCAUACAGAACACCUAAGAUAGACAAUCUUUGGUAAAUCCACAACACCUACGAUCGUCAUAGGUAAGCGAGAACUAAAAAACAUAAAACCAAAUAGGCUAAAGACACAGAGAUUAUUCGAACUACCAUCAUGAAGCAAGUAAAUAAACGUGGGCAGUACGUGACCACUAAACAUGGAUAAGGCAAUAAGAGCACCUCUCACAACUAAACAGAAGACACUGACGCUAAAAGGCUCGGGUACAACAGUGCUAGGUCACGAGGCGGGUGUGGCUCGUAGAGGCCCAAUUUUUUUUAUCUGCGGCAUUGGCAAGACAUCGCUCCCAGGAACUUCAAUUUCUACCCCAGCAAGGACAUGCCCAUCUCCAUCUACCUUACAGUAGCUAGGAGGAGGCAAAUCACGGUGCGCCGCCAUUGUUUUUAGAAUCGUUCUCACGAAGGUCUGGGCAGAUUCAAACUGAAAUCAAAAGUCAAUUUUAGGACAAAGUUAUAUUGGGGUCAAACAUGUAAAGAAGAGAAUUCUGCUAGGCAAAGUUCACUUGAGUACUUUUUGAAUUUCCCUCCUCUCCUACAAUGUGAAUUCCCCUCCUCUGCUACCCCAGUUCAAAAUAAUAAGAUAACAUGCAUACAUACCUAGUUCGAUGGGUAAACAUGACUUGUACAUGAAAUAAGUAAUAAGCAUACAUCGCAUAACUUGGUAUAUGAAAAAGAUUUAGAAAAGAGCGUACCAGAGCAGCUCUAGCGAGGGCGUGUCAGUGCUUCCAACUUACUGAAUUUGGAGUGGGUGGCUCCAUAUUGCAAGGACGAACCUGGGGCAAACCAAAGCAACAAAAAAGGUUUAUACUAUGAUACUUAGCAGUGGAUAGCAGGUAAAGUAACAGCAUUAAGCAAUAAAAUUUGUUUAUACAACAAUAAUUAGCAUUGUAUAGCAGGUAAAGUAGCAGCAUUUAAAAAAAAUAACAGUAUGUGAAGAGCAUGCUAAGAAGUAAAAGUUCUUUUACCAUCAUAUUGUAUUUGGGUGUUUCGAGUGAUCAAAGCCAUGUAGUGCUUCGUCAACCGAGGCUAUGCUGCAACCACAAAACAAAAUUUGCUCCGUCGUAUCUACAUCUGAGAUCCUCCUCUUUAGAUGGUGCAAGCCUGCAGCUGUCUAGCAAACCUGGAGGUGGUCCAUUACAUGUCCCAUGGUGUGAUAAGUAGGACUCACAUAAUUAUAUAGGAGCAAUGCUAGAACGACGGACAGAUUUUACUUACUUUACGGAAUGGUGCUAGCUCGCAGUGUUUGAUUGGAGAUUAGAGAGGGCGACGGGCCACACCCCCUGAAAAUCAGGGGGCAGAGAUAAUUAGUGUAGAUAGGCCCGUGAACCCUCUGUAAUCAUCCGCGCAUUUAGAAUUAUCCAUUAUGGGAACCAAAUCAAAGCCCAGGAGGGAAGAUAUCAACAAAGAAACAGCCC
rnacentral:lncRNA from 1 species